AGCUCUGUAAGCGUAUACCAAAGUUGUUGCAGUUAAAACGCUCGUAGUCGGAAUUUGGUGGUUCCGGAUUUGUGCGCGUCGUGCGCGCAUUUCGCAGGGAUCGCUUUUGUGGGUUUGCGUGGGAUGAGGCACUUUAUUGUUGAACGUCCUUCCGCGACCACUUUUUACUGUGAGAAAAUCAGAGUGCUCAAAGCAGGCAAUUGCUGUGAAUGUAUUAGCAUGGAAUAAUGGAAUAGGACUUGGUUCUGUUUUGUUGGUUUGUUGGAGUCGAGUAAUGAUUAAGAGGGACAGUUGGGGGCAUUUGUAUUCCGACGCUAGAGGUGAAAUUCUUAGAUUGCCGGAAGACAAACUGCUGCGAAAGCGUCUGCCAAGGAUGUUUUCAUUGAUCAAGAACGAAAGU
rnacentral:rRNA from 1 species